AUUGAACGCUGGCGGCAGGCCUAACACAUGCACGUCGAACGAGUGGCGGACGGGUGAGUCAUGUCUGGGAAACUGCCUGAUGGAGGGGGAUAACUACUGGAAACGGUAGCUAAUACCGCAUACCAUCGGAUGUGCCCAGAUGGGCUGAGCUAGUAGGUGGGGUAAAGGCUCACCUAGUCGACGAUCCCUAGCUGGUCUGAGAGGAUGACCAGCCACAAUGGAACGGAGACACGGUCCAGACGCCUACGGGAGGCAGCAGUGGGGAAUAUUGCACAAUGGGCGCAAGCCUGAUGCAGCCAUGCCGCGUGUAUGAAGAAGGCCGUCGGGUUGUAAAGUACUUUCAGCGGGGAGGCGUUACCCGCAGAAGAAGCACCGGCUAACUCCGUGCCAGCCGCCGCGGUAAUAC
rnacentral:rRNA from 1 species